rnacentral:rRNA from 1 species
UACGUAGGGUGCAAGCGUUGUCCGGAAUUAUUGGGCGUAAAGAGCUUGUAGGCGGUUUGUCGCGUCUGCUGUGAAAUUUCGGGGCUCAACCCCGAACUUGCAGUGGGUACGGGCAGACUAGAGUGUGGUAGGGGAGACUGGAAUUCCGGGUGUAGUGGUGAAAUGCGUAGAGAUCCGGAGGAACCCCAGAGCGAAGGCGGCGCUCUGGCUUGCAACUGACGCUCAGACACGACAGCAUGGGGAGCGAACGGG